GACGAACGCUGGCGGCGUGCUUAACACAUGCAAGUCGAACGGAAAGGCCCUGCUUUUGUGGGGUGCUCGAGUGGCGAACGGGUGAGUAACACGUGAGUAACCUGCCCUUGACUUUGGGAUAACUUCAGGAAACUGGGGCUAAUACCGGAUAGGAGCUCCUGCUGCAUGGUGGGGGUUGGAAAGUUUCGGCGGUUGGGGAUGGACUCGCAGCUUAUCAGCUUGUUGGUGGGGUAGUUGCUUACCAAGGCUUUGACGGGUAGCCGGCCUAAGAGGGUGACCGGACACAAUGGGACUGAGAUACGGCCCAGAUUCCAACGGGGGGCAGCAGUGGUGAAUUUUGCCUAAUGCGCGGAAGCCUGUUGCUGCAACGCCGCGUGCGGGAUGACGGCCUUCGGGUUGUAAACCGCUUUAGCCUGUGAUGAAGCGUGAGUGACGGUAAUGGGUAAAGAAGCACCGGCUAACUACGUG
rnacentral:rRNA from 1 species